AAAAAACCUUUCAUUUUGAUUUCUAGAAAUUUGAAAAAGACAACAAAGUUUUACAAGCUAAGUUGAAGCACACAGAAGUUUGUGAGCAGAAAGCUCCUGAAGUGCCAAAUUUUCAAGUUAUUAAGAAAAUUGAAUUAGCCUAUAGCCACAAGAUGAAAGAGUUUGAGAGGUCAAUCUUUGGCAAAGAUAAAAAAGUAGCUGAGUUAUUAUUUGAAGUAGCAAAAUUAAAAGAGGAACUUCACCUUGCCAGGGAAACACAUGCAUCUGUUUUAAAAGACAGGAAUGUAAGUAUAUUUUGUAUUUUGCAUUGUUUUCCCCCUUCACUUUACAAUUGAUUCAUCAAGCAAACUAGGGAUUACUAAGACACUCCCUUCUCCUAUAUUAAGCCAUUUAAGUCAUUGGUUAAUAUGCAUGACUAAAUGCAUGACGCGUAGGACGUAAUCAUCUUCUUUUUUGAAGUAAUGUCUGUAUUAUAUAAGAUAAGAUAAGCCUUUUUUUUUCUUUACGAUGCCAUCUGUUCAUUUAAGAAACUGGUGAAUUCUGGGACUCACCUUUGAUUAUGUUGAUCCCCUCACAGCUUAAAUUCAAUGACACACCCUUAAAUCUUAACAAAUGCAUCAUGCCCACCCAGUUGAGAAGGAGACUUUUUAUAGUAUCACAAGCCUUAACAUUAGGCUCUACUCAACAAAAUCUACUUUGACUCAAUCCUUUCUGUCUUUUCAAUUUUUGUCCUUACAUUUUAGUGCUGUUCUGUGGAAUCUUUUCAAACUUCCUUGAAACAUUGAGAACAUGCACACAAUUCAAAACUUCCUUGAAACAUUGAGAACAUGCACACAAUUCAAAACUUCCUUGAAACAUUGAGAACAUGCACACAAUUCAAAACUUCCUUGAAACAUUGAGAACAUGCACACAAUUCAAAACUUCCUUGAAACAUUGAGAACAUGCACACAAUUCAAAACUUCCUUGAAACAUUGAGAACAUGCACACAAUUCAAACACUUCCUUGAAACAUUGAGAACAUGCACACAAUUCAAAACUUGACACUCUUGAUGGCUAGCCAUGCAGCUUUUGCCAUUCAGCUGGACAUCACGUUUAUAAGUAGAAAAACUCCUGCUCAUGAAAACAAUAGAUUGAAUAGAUUAGAUUGAAUAGAAUUUAAAGACAUUUUGUAA
rnacentral:sRNA from 1 species